UCUUCUCCAGGGUUUCAGAAGACUCUUGGCUUGUCUUGAGGUUCUUUAAUGGACACUUCCUGGAUGGAGAGUCAGGGGCAUGUCUACCGUGGAGAGGUCAGACACCGUGGCCAAAAUUACGAGUCAGUCUCCGUUUCUUCAAAGUUGAAAGUGUUUAGUGCCCUCUGGUGUUUGCAAAGAGACGUGUCAACUUGCCACAAGCUGGAGUUAUCAGAAAGGAGCCUGCAUUGAGAAAAUGCCCCCAUGAGAUCCAGCUAUAAGGCUUCAGUUUUCCCAUCUGUAUGCUGAACUCAGCUCCUCACUCAGGAACUCGGACUCUCGUUGAGGUAGCAGAGAUACUGACACAUGUCAAACAACAGCCCCUGAGGUUCUAACCUAUAGGUUAAUGUGGUUAAGGUAGAGUUGGGAGCUUGUG
rnacentral:lncRNA from 1 species